rnacentral:sRNA from 18 species
GUCAACAACCCCACCCUGUAGAGGGAUGGGGCUUGUAAGAGACAGUUCUUACUGAGAAUUGACUAGCCCAAGUAAAGCCACUAACUGUUACGGACUACCGAAUGCUUCCCCAGUUCGGUUUAUCUCCA